rnacentral:rRNA from 1 species
AUUGAACGCUGGCGGCAGGCCUAACACAUGCAAGUCGAGCGGAUGAAGGGAGCUUGCUCCUGGAUUCAGCGGCGGACGGGUGAGUAAUGCCUAGGAAUCUGCCUGGUAGUGGGGGAUAACGUCCGGAAACGGGCGCUAAUACCGCAUACGUCCUGAGGGAGAAAGUGGGGGAUCUUCGGACCUCACGCUAUCAGAUGAGCCUAGGUCGGAUUAGCUAGUUGGUGGGGUAAAGGCCCACCAAGGCGACGAUCCGUAACUGGUCUGAGAGGAUGAUCAGUCACACUGGAACUGAGACACGGUCCAGACUCCUACGGGAGGCAGCAGUGGGGAAUAUUGGACAAUGGGCGAAAGCCUGAUCCAGCCAUGCCGCGUGUGUGAAGAAGGUCUUCGGAUUGUAGAGCACUUUAAGUUGGGAGGAAGGGCAGUAAGUUAAUACCUUGCUGUUUUGACGUUACCAACAGAAUAAGCACCGGCUAACUUCGUG